rnacentral:rRNA from 1 species
UACGAGGGGGGCGAGCGUUGUUCGGAAUUAUUGGGCGUAAAGGGUGCGUAGGCGGUUCCGCAAGUCCUGUGUGAAAUCUAUGGGCUCAACCCAUAGUCUGCAUUGGAAACUGUCGGGCUUGAGUAUGGGAGAGGUGAGUGGAAUUUCCGGUGUAGCGGUGAAAUGCGUAGAUAUCAGGAGGAACACCGGUGGUGUAGACGGCUCUCUGGACCGUAACUGACGCUGAGGCACGAAAGCGUGGGUAGCAAACAGG